GAUGAACGCUGGCGGCGUGCCUAAUACAUGCAAGUCGAGCGCCCCUUCAUAGUACUGAUGAGUAAUCAUAAGUCCUGUGAUGGGGAGCGGCGGACGGGUGAGUAACGCGUGGGAACAUACCCCAGACUGAGGGAUAAGCACCAGAAAUGGUGUCUAAUACCGCAUAACCUCUACGGAGAAAAGCUUCGGCGGUUGGGGAAUGGCCUGCGUAAGAUUAGCUAGUUGGUAGGGUAAAGGCCUACCAAGGCGAUGAUCUUUAGCUGGUUUGAGAGGAUGAUCAGCCACACUGGAACUGAGACACGGUCCAGACUCCUACGGGAGGCAGCAGUGGGGAAUCUUGGACAAUGGGCGCAAGCCUGAUCCAGCAAUGCCGCGUGGGUGAAGAAGGCCUUCGGGUUGUAAAGCCCUUUUGUUUGGGAGCAAAUCCUUGGUGUUAAUACCGCCUGGGGAUGAGAGUACCAAAAGAAUCAGCACCGGCUAACUACGUGCCAGCAGCCGCCGUAA
rnacentral:rRNA from 1 species